GUCCCUUCCAACUCUACAAUUCUAUGAUUCUGUGACUACAAACUUUUGGUGAAUGCUGAAGAUCAUAGAAUCAUAGAAUCAUAGAAUCAUAGAGUUGGAAGAGAC